CGGCGAGUGAAGCGGCAAAAGCUCAAAUUUGAAAUCCCCCCGGGGAGUUGUAAUUUGAAGAUUGCGUCUUGGAGGCGACCGUGUCUAUGUUCCUUGGAACAGGACGUCACAGAGGGUGAGAAUCCCGUGCGGCACGGCCCCCGGCUCCUUAUAAGGCGCUCUCGACGAGUCGAGUUGUUUGGGAAUGCAGCUCAAAGUGGGUGGUAAAUUCCAUCUAAAGCUAAAUACAGGCGAGAGACCGAUAGCGAACAAGUACAGUGAUGGAAAGAUGAAAAGCACUUUGAAAAGAGAGUGAAACAGCACGUGAAAUUGUUGAAAGGGAAGGGCAUGCCGUCAGAUUGUCAGUGUGGGUAAGAAGCGGGGUACAAAGACUGUGGAACGUGGCCCUCGGGUGUUAUAGCCGCAGUUCAUGCCCCGUCUCUUUCCGAGGCCUGCUUUGAGGACACCGACGUAAUGACGGUACGCCGCCCGUC
rnacentral:rRNA from 1 species